UGAUUUUUUGGCACAACGUAGCUACAGACCCAAUUCGUCUCACACUUAAGAAAUUUUCACUGAUACAUUUUUCGAAACAGAAACCAAAACUCGAUACUUAGCUCGCUCUCUCAAACCAUGAACUCUUCUCUCUUCUUCGCAGCACACAGCAUAAUUUCUCUCUUCUGAGUCUCAAACCAAAAUCAUCGAACUCAAAUUCCAGGUCCUAAUCCAGCAUCAAUCUCUUCUAAUCCAAUAUCGAACUGAAAACCCAGAAAAAUCUCGCCCAUCUUGCCUUGCAAACAUAGAAAACCUCAUUCUAGCCAAAGCAUCUCAGUCUCAAUCCGUAUCGUGGUCUCAGUCUCAAUCCAUAUCAUGUUGCUGGCGGCGGUGCAGGGGGUUUAGACAGAGGCGCUCUCCCUCUCCCCUUGAAGGUCGACGGCGCUCGCUCUCGUCGACAGAUCUAAAUUUUGAAGG